UGUAGUCAUAUGCUUGUCUCAAAGAUUAAGCCAUGCAUGUCUAAGUAUAAGCAAUUAUACAGCGAAACUGCGAAUGGCUCAUUAAAUCAGUUAUCGUUUAUUUGAUAGUACCUUACUACAUGGAUAACCGUGGUAAUUCUAGAGCUAAUACAUGCUAAAAACCCCGACUUCGGAAGGGGUGUAUUUAUUAGAUUAAAAACCAAUGCCCUUCGGGGCUCCCUGGUGAUUCAUAAUAACUUCUCGAAUCGCACGGCCUUGCGCCGGCGAUGGUUCAUUCAAAUUUCUGCCCUAUCAACUUUCGACGGCAGGGUCUUGGCCUGCCAUGGUGACAACGGGUAACGGAGGGUUAGGGCUCGACCCCGGAGAAGGAGCCUGAGAAACGGCUACUACAUCCAAGGAAGGCAGCAGGCGCGCAAAUUACCCAAUCCCGACUCGGGGAGGUAGUGACAAUAAAUACUGAUACAGGGCUCUUUUGGGUCUUGUAAUUGGAAUGAGUACAAUUUAAAUCCCUUAACGAGGAACAAUUGGAGGGCAAGUCUGGUAAUCG
rnacentral:rRNA from 1 species